rnacentral:rRNA from 1 species
AAUGGUAAAUUUCAUUUAAUCAUAAAUAUGUUGUUGACAACUUAUAGCAAACAAAUACCAUGAGGGAAAUGUGAAAAGGAUUUUGAAAAGAAAAUUAAAAGAGCUUGCAAUUGCUGAACUGAUAAGCAAACAAAACAUACGUGUGUAUGCAAGAUUGUUGUAAUGCUUAGCAUCUUAUGCAAGGCUAUUGCAAUGAUUUUUUGUAUAGUGAUGCUACCUUUUUUUAGAAUUUGGAAUGUCUUUUUUUGAGUGUGAAUGGAAUUUUGUUUGUUAGCAAAGGAAUGCACUUUUAGAUUCAUUGCUUGAUUUGAUUUAAAAAUGUUUGUGAC